UACGAAGGGGGCUAGCGUUGUUCGGAAUUACUGGGCGUAAAGGGCGCGUAGGCGGUUUUGUAAGUAGAGUGUGAAAUCCCAGGGCUCAACCCUGGAACUGCAUUCUAGACUGCAUUACUUGAAUUCGGUAGAGGUGAGUGGAAUUCCCAGUGUAGAGGUGAAAUUCGUAGAUAUUGGGAAGAACACCGGUGGCGAAGGCGGCUCACUGGACCGACAUUGACGCUGAGGCGCGAAAGCGUGGGGAGCAAACAGG
rnacentral:rRNA from 1 species